rnacentral:snoRNA from 1 species
GGGGCCUCUUCGAAGAUCCUUAUACCUCUACCGUGGUAUAAUGAUUCAAAGCGAGGCCCAAAGCAAAACCUUUCAUUACUAAUUGUAUUUUUCCUUCUGCAAUUGCAAUUAAAAAAAA